GGACAGUGGUAAUGCAAUGCGUUUUGGGUUUCAAAUACCAAAAUUGGGACAGUGGAAAAUUCCUCAACUGAUUUGGAUGACCAGUAAUAUCGACUGUAACUACUGGGGAUUUCUUAGAACAGUUCUCAAAGGAAUACACCUUACAUUAUGACCCAGGACACAAACAUACACAAAUGUCUACAAACGUACAUAAAUCACCAAUUUAUUGUAAAAGGAUGUAACUCAGAAAAGCCAGAUGGAAAAGAUGCACAGGACAAGAAAAAUUAUCUACAGCUUGGGGCUGGCCCCGUGGCCGAGUGGUUGAGUUUGCGCACUCCGCAGCAGGCGGCCCAGUGUUUCGUUAGUUCGAAUCCUGGGCGUGGACAUGGCACUGCUCGUCAGACCACGCUGAGGCGGCGUCCCACAUGCCACAACUAGAAGAACCCACAACGAAGAAUACAC
rnacentral:lncRNA from 1 species